rnacentral:lncRNA from 1 species
CUACUCUCCACCACCACCUUAUGAGUACAAUUCACCUCCUCCACCAACUGCUUCACCGCCACCUCCUUAUGAGUACAAGUCACCACCUCCUCCACCAAUUGAGCACAAACCACCACCUUAUGAGUAUAAAUCACCACCUCCACCACCACAUGAGCACAAGGCUCCUCCGUACGAGUAUAAGUCACCCCCUCCGCCAUCACCAUCACCUCCACCACCUUAUGAGUAUAAAUCACCACCUCCACCACCACAUGAGCACAAGGCUCCUCCGUACGAGUAUAAGUCACCCCCUCCGCCAUCACCAUCACCUCCACCACCUUAUGAGUAUAAAUCACCACCUCCACCACCACAUGAGCACAAGGCUCCUCCGUACGAGUAUAAGUCACCCCCUCCGCCAUCACCAUCACCACCACCUCCUUAUGAGUAUAAAUCACCACCUCCCCCACCACAUGAGCACAAGGCUCCUCCGUACGAGUAUAUUUCACCACCCCCACCAUCACCAUCACCACCACCUCCUUAUGAGUAUAAAUCACCACCUCCACCACCACAUGAGCACAAGGCUCCUCCUUAUGAGUACAAGUCACCACCACCUCCAUACGUAUACAAGUCACCACCUCCACCACCAUAUGAACACAAGGUUCCUCCCUACGAGUACAAGUCACCAC